UAUACUGCGAGUAGAACGCUGAAGAGAGGAGCUUGCUCUUCUUGGAUGAGUUGCGAACGCCCUUUUUAACGCGUAGGUAACCUGCCUUGUAGCGGGGGAUAACUAUUGGAAACGAUAGCUAAUACCGCAUAACAAUGGAUGACUCAUGUCAUUUAUUUGAAAGGGGCAAAUGCUCCACUACAAGAUGGACCUGCGUUGUAUUAGCUAGUAGGUGAGGUAACGGCUCACCUAGGCGACGAUACAUAGCCGACCUGAGAGGGUGAUCGGCCACACUGGGACUGAGACACGGCCCAGACUCCUACGGGAGGCAGCAGUAGGGAAUCUUCGGCAAUGGGGGCAACCCUGACCGAGCAACGCCGCGUGAGUGAAGAAGGUUUUCGGAUCGUAAAGCUCUGUUGUAAGUCAAGAACGAGUGUGAGAGUGGAAAGUUCACACUGUGACGGUAGCUUACCAGAAAGGGACGGCUAACUACGUGCCAGCAGCCGCGGUAAUACGUAGGUCCCGAGCGUUGUCCGGAUUUAUUGGGCGUAAAGCGAGCGCAGGCGGUUUGAUAAGUCUGAAGUUAAAGGCUGUGGCUCAACCAUAGUUCGCUUUGGAAACUGUCAAACUUGAGUGCAGAAGGGGAGAGUGGAAUUCCAUGUGUAGCGGUGAAAUGCGUAGAUAUAUGGAGGAACACCGGUGGCGAAAGCGGCUCUCUGGUCUGUAACUGACGCUGAGGCUCGAAAGCGUGGGGAGCGAACAGGAUUAGAUACCCUGGUAGUCCACGCCGUAAACGAUGAGUGCUAGGUGUUGGAUCCUUUCCGGGAUUCAGUGCCGCAGCUAACGCAUUAAGCACUCCGCCUGGGGAGUACGACCGCAAGGUUGAAACUCAAAGGAAUUGACGGGGGCCCGCACAAGCGGUGGAGCAUGUGGUUUAAUUCGAAGCAACGCGAAGAACCUUACCAGGUCUUGACAUCCCGAUGCUAUUUCUAGAGAUAGAAAGUUACUUCGGUACAUCGGUGACAGGUGGUGCAUGGUUGUCGUCAGCUCGUGUCGUGAGAUGUUGGGUUAAGUCCCGCAACGAGCGCAACCC
rnacentral:rRNA from 1 species